rnacentral:rRNA from 1 species
CCUACGGGUGGCAGCAGUGAGGAAUAUUGGUCAAUGGGCGCGAGCCUGAACCAGCCAAGUAGCGUGAAGGAUGACUGCCCUACGGGUUGUAAACUUCUUUUAUAAAGGAAUAAAGUGUGGCACGUGUGCCUUUUUGUAUGUACUUUAUGAAUAAGGAUCGGCUAACUCAGUGCCAGCAGCCGCGGUAAUACGGAGGAUCCGAGCGUUACCCGGAUUUAUUGGGUUUAAAGGGAACGUAGAUGGGUUGUUAAGUCAGUUGUGAAAGUUUGCGGCUCAACCGUAAAAUUGCAUUUGAUACUGGCAGUCUAGAGUACAGUUGAGGUAGGCGGAAUUCGUGGUGUAGCGGUGAAAUGCGUAGAGAUCACGAAGAACUCCGAUUGCGAAGGCAGCUUACUAAACUGCCACUGACAUUGAUGCGCGAAAGUGUGGGUAUCAAACAGGAUUAGAUACCCUUGUAGUC